rnacentral:lncRNA from 10 species
CUCAAUCCUGGAGUACAAUUUCUGUCUUACGAUGGACUACUGCUGGGCCAGACUGACUUUAUGCCUUGCAGAGAGAAAACUCGACAGUGCUUUUCCUAGCUAAAAGCAAGCCUGGCUGAAAAAGGACGUCCAAACUCCACUCAGUCUUGGACUGGGCUAGGUGUAAGCCAACAGACCCAGAGAAGAAGGGGAAAGCUGGGUCCCUAGGGGCUGGCCAUCUCUCUUUCUGGAAUUCAUAUUUCCUGACUUAUUGCACCUUCUUUUUCCUGAGGUAAAAGCACUGGUGAUUGAGGCAGCUGCAGGCAACCCACACAGCCAGAUUCUUAUGUACAGUAUCAUGGGGCUGGCGAUUUAUCUGCCAAUCUGUCUUUCCUGAGUAUCAUUUUCCUCUUCCUGAAAUCAGACACAAAGUUUAGGGUAAUGGAGCAGUGGACUUGAGUCCUGGAGCAGUGGACUUGAGUCCUCAGAGAAGGUUAGGUCUCUGUUCCUGAAUUAUCAUCUCUGCUGCCACCACCCUAGAUUGAGUCACCUAGCCAGUCAGUUACCUGGACUAUUGCAGUAGAGGGCUCAGCUGCUCUCUGAUCCCUUCCUCCAUCCUGUCUCCAAACUGUUGCCAAUUUAACUAUAUAAAAUAAGUUUCUAAUCAUGUCUCUCCUACUAUUGUUGAAAGAUCUUUGAGUAACUCAAUUAUAUGGACUACUAUUGAAUACAUAAAUUGGUCUUAUUUGCAUCAAAUUCCCCAUUGUCCUGAUUUCUUCUCUUCACAGCCUUCACAAUUCCAAUCUAAGUUCAGUGUGUUCUUGUUCUCCCCACUCCAUUGGAAUGGAAUGUUCAUAUCAGCAGGAUUCUUAUCCGUCUGUCCCCCA